UGUGUUCAUGUCCUCUACAGUCCCUCGCUCUUCUCGCCUCGUCUCUCCUCUCUCUCUCUCUCUCUCUUAGGGGAGACUGCUGUGUUCAUGUCCUCUCAGUCCCUCGCUCUUACUCAGCCUCUCUCUCUCUCUCUCUCUCUCUCUCUUAGGGGACUGCUGUUUCAUGUCCGCUCGCAGUCCUCGCCUUCUCAGUCCUCUUCUCUCUCAUCUCUCUUAGGAGACUGAUUUGUGUUCAUGUCCUCCGUCCCCCUCACUCUUCACUCGCUUCUGCUCUCUCCCCUC
rnacentral:lncRNA from 1 species